rnacentral:tRNA from 1 species
GCCUUCGUGGUGUUAGCACACUCGGCUCGUAAUCGAAAGGUCCGUGUUUGAAAUCCCGGCGAGGGCA